rnacentral:rRNA from 1 species
UGGGGAAUAUUGGACAAUGGGCGCAAGCCUGAUCCAGCUAUGCCGCGUGAAUGAUGAAGGCCUUCGGGUUGUAAAGUUCUUUUAGGUGGGAAGAUUAUGACGGUACCACCAGAAAAAGCUCCGGCUAACUUCGUGCCAGCAGCCGCGGUAAUACGAAGGGAGCAAGCGUUGCUCGGAUUUAUUGGGCGUAAAGGGUGUGUAGGCGGUUUUGUAAGUUAGAUGUGAAAGCCCAGGGCUUAACCCUGGAAUUGCAUUUAAGACUGCGAGACUUGAAGUUCGAAGAGGUUAGCAGAAUUCCCAGUGUAGAGGUGAAAUUCGUAGAUAUUGGGAAGAAUACCGAUGGCGUAGGCAGCUAACUGGUCGACACUUGACGCUGAGGCACGAAAGCGUGGGGAGCAAA